UGGGGAAUAUUGCACAAUGGGCGAAAGCCUGAUGCAGCAACGCCGCGUGAGCGAUGAAGGCCUUUGGGUCGUAAAGCUCUGUCCUUGGGGAAGAAACAAAUGACGGUACCCAAGGAGGAAGCCCCGGCUAACUACGUGCCAGCAGCCGCGGUAAUACGUAGGGGGCAAGCGUUAUCCGGAAUUAUUGGGCGUAAAGAGUACGUAGGUGGUCUUUUAAGCGCAGGGUUUAAGGCAAUGGCUUAACUAUUGUUCGCCCUGUGAACUGGGAGACUUGAGUGCAGGAGAGGAAAGCGGAAUUCCUAGUGUAGCGGUGAAAUGCGUAGAUAUUAGGAGGAACACCAGUGGCGAAGGCGGCUUUCUGGACUGUAACUGACACUGAGGUACGAAAGCGUGGGGAGCAAACA
rnacentral:rRNA from 1 species